CACUCAGAAACAAGUAUUUUUGAAGGAGGGCACAGACAGCUCAAUGAUUCAGCUGGUGGAACUACAAAAAUGUAGCACAGAGCCUUCAGCAGAGGAAUGGGGAGCGUCGACAUCGCCGAUGGGUGACCCUCAGCCCGAAGCGCCUCAUUCCCUGCCACCGCAGCUGCUCCAACACCAUCCCUAUAGACAAAAAACUGGAGAUGGAGAUGGAUGUCCUAAAGCAGCAGAAAAUAGUACUCCAUCUACAGGAGGAGUACUACAAAAAUACAGAUUGAGCUACUCAAAAAUAAAAC